GUUUCCGCUGUUCCCGAAGUACAGCUGACCCCCUUGCUCAUUUUGAGACAUUAUAUCUGCAUUUGUACGCCAUCAUUCAGUAUUAGCCAUAUUCUUUGACCUAGAAAAGCAUGACACCACAUGACCGUACCAUAUUCUUCAGCAAACGUCCUGCCUGAGUAUACAUGGAAACAUUGGAACCAACUCCAGUGAUACAGGUGACUCCCAUUACUUAUGAAGAUGCCUGUACCAACAGUGAACCUCGACAGAGACCACAACAUGCAGCGGCUAGGCGAGCUUGAAGAAUCUCGUGCGAAAUUAAUCCUUGAAGAUUUCUGCAAAUGUUUGCAACUUUGUUGUGGGGAUGUGUGAUAUUUUUAACAUUAAUGUAGAAAUUCAGUAAUGUAUGCCUUUUUUAUGCAAAUUAUCAAUUCAAUUUAUAUGUACCUAGAGAUAAAGAAGCAAAACCAUUACCAAGUUACAAUUUUAAACGAUGUAUCUUUUGAAAGGUGUACAGGAAAUAUGUGUUGAUCUCUCAAUCUUUUCAUUUGAGCAGUUCAGUUAAUUUUGUUUGACUUGAAUUUUUUUAUUCCAUUAGUGAUUUGGUAUGUAAGAUUAUAAAUUUGGAAUAAUAAACAGUGGUGUAACUGUUUUUAUUGUA